UCUCAAAGAUUAAGCCAUGCAUGUCUAAGUACAUGCCGUAUUAAGGCGAAACCGCGAAUGGCUCAUUAAAUCAGUUACGGUUCCUUAGAUGUUGACUAUCUACAUGGAUAACUGUGGUAAUUCUAGAGCUAAUACAUGCCGAAAAACUUCAACUCUAAACACGGGGAAGAAGUGCAUUUAUUAGACCAAGACCAACGGUCGUGAGUCCGGCAACGGGCUCACGCACCUGAACCCCCUUGUGGUGACUCUGAAUAACUCGAUCUACUGCUGACCGCAUGGCCUACGAGCCGGCGGCGAAUCUUUCAAGUGUCUGCCUUAUCAACUGUCGAUGGUAGGUUAUGCGCCUACCAUGGUUGUAACGGGUAACGGGGAAUCAGGGUUCGAUUCCGGAGAGGGAGCCUGAGAAACGGCUACCACAUCCAAGGAAGGCAGCAGGCACGCAAAUUACCCACUCCCGGCACGGGGAGGUAGUGACUAGAAAUAACAAUACGGGACUCGUUUGAGGCCCCGUAAUUGGAAUGAGAACAAUCUAAAUCCUUCUAACGAGGAUCUAUUGGAGGGCAAGUCUGGUGCCAGCAGCCGCGGUAAUUCCAGCUCCAAUAGCGUAUAUUAAAGUUGUUGCGGUUAAAAAGCUCGUAGUUGGAUCUCAGUUCUGGCUCUGGGCGGUCCACUUGCCGGUGGUUACUGUCUCCCAGGCAGGAACAUGGCGACCGACUCGUCUCGCGGUGCUCUUAACCGAGUGUCGUGGGUGAUCGGUACGUUUACUUUGAAAAAAUUAGAGUGCUCAAAGCAGGCCAAUUUGUGCCCCUAUGUGAAUAAUGUUGCAUGGAAUAAUGGAAUAGGACCUCGGUUCUAUGUGUGUGUUGGUCUUCGGAAUCCGAGGUAAUGAUUAAGAGGGACAGACGGGGGCAUUCGUAUUGCGGCGCUAGAGGUGAAAUUCUUGGACCGUCGCAAGACGAACUAAAGCGAAAGCAUUUGCCAAGAAUGCGUUCAUUAAUCAAGAACGAAAGUUAGAGGUUCGAAGGCGAUCAGAUACCGCCCUAGUUCUAACCAUAAACGAUGCCAACCAGCAAUCCGCCUGAGUUCCUUCCUAAUGACUCGGCGGGCGGCUUCCGGGAAACCAGAAGUGUCCAGGUUCCGGGGGAAGUAUGGUUGCAAAGCUGAAACUUAAAGGAAUUGACGGAAGGGCACCACCAGGAGUGGAGCCUGCGGCUUAAUUUGACUCAACACGGGAAAACUUACCCGGCCCGGACACUGGAAGGAUUGACAGAUUGAGAGCUCUUUCUUGAUUCAGUGGGUGGUGGUGCAUGGCCGUUCUUAGUUGGUGGAGCGAUUUGUCUGGUUAAUUCCGAUAACGAACGAGACUCUAGCCUACUAAAUAGACCGCCAAGGAAGUUGACACACUCCAAGUGUGUGUGUGCACUCGCGCGGCGGGGCUUCUUAGAGGGACAGGCGGCAAAGAAAGCCGCACGAAACAGAGCAAUAACAGGUCUGUGAUGCCCUUAGAUGUCCGGGGCCGCACGCGCGCUACACUGAAGUGAUCAGCGUGCCAAACAACAACCUGGUCCGAGAGGACCGGGAAACCAGAUCAACCCGUUCUUCGUGAUUGGGAUAGGGGAUUGUAAUUGUUGCCCUUGAACGAGGAAUUCCCAGUAAGCGCGAGUCAUAAGCUCGCGUUGAUUACGUCCCUGCCCUUUGUACACACCGCCCGUCGCUACUACCGAUUGAAUGAUUUAGUGAGGUCUUCGGACUGACCGGUGCCGAAGAGGUCGUUGCAGGCCAACAGGCGCCUUGGUUGGGAAGAUGCCCAAACUUGAUCAUUUAGAGGAAGUAAAAGUCGUAA
rnacentral:rRNA from 1 species